GUUUUGACCCACUGAGGUUUUAACCCACUGAGCCACCCAGGUGUCCUGGGAAGUUUGUUAUUUAAGUCAAAAGGUACUAGCAUGUGUUUUCUGACCCCCAAAAUGACAUGACUGAUGCAGAAACAGAGACCUAAGAGAGGGCUGGGCUGGUUGCAGGAGUCACAACUUUGAGAAGGAACAGGAUGCAGGACACAGCUGGAAGGAUGGCCUGGGAUAGGGGCUGGGACCCAGUGUUCAUCGUAGAAACACUGUAGACCUCUAGUGGGUACCAAGUGGCUCUACUUCCUAGCUUGUAUUUGACCGAAGAGAGGAGAGAUAGAUCAGGCCUAACUGGAGCAUAAGAUUCCCUCUCUGGAAUUUGGAAUAGAGAUUAAAGGACAGAAGUCAGUCUAGGAAUGUCUCUUGAAUGGUGAUUUGAACCAAGGAACUAAGGAGUGGCCAUUUCCAUCCACCAUGUGUUCAAGGAAGUACAGAGAACAUGAAGCAAGAACCUGUAGACAUGAGAAAUGGGAAAGAUUCCUGUUGACUUUGCAAAUCCAGGGUCCAGAACAGUCUUAUUAUCUACAAUAUGGAGCACUGCCUGACUGAUGUGAUAGCCUCACUCCAGAUACCCAAGAAGGCAUGCUUGACCUGAGUCAGCCUUCAGCAGAGUCACCACGUGACUCAGGGCCCUUUCCUGGACCUAUACUGGAGCCAUACCGGACAACUGGGUAUGAGAAAAUGUGAAGUCAUAAGGAGCAAAUAAGAUAAAUAUGGUUGUGGUUUCAAUUAACUGUAUCUAACCAUUCAAAUUGAUUAUUACGACGACCACAUAGAAGCAUAAAGCAAAACAGAACACUGAUUUUAAUGCACAUGAUCAUAGCAUAGUAAAAAAUGUAUUUGGGAAAAAUACAUCAAAAUGAGAAUAGUUGUGUGUUAGGUUAAUGCGAUCAUGGGUAUUUUCCCCCUUCUUUUUCUAUUUUAUUUCUAAAACAUGGCUAU